GUAGUAUUCCAUUGUAUACACAAACCACAUAGAGUCUUGACGCCAAGAUUCCUCUUAGCCCCGCCCACAUCACAGAGACUACAAUGGCCACGAGUUCCAGCAGGGGGGUUUCAACCACCUGAGCGGCACAUCUUUGUAAUCAGGGAAACAGCAGUGUACAAGACACUUUGAAAAUCUUUUCACUAGCUCUGGAUUUAGGAGUCUCACUUCCAUAUUAAGAUAUACACGAAACUCUCCUGCCUCCUGACCUCAAGGUGGAUGUUCAGUUGGCCCAAGCCAAUUGUUGGAAAGAUUGUUCUUUCCCUCCUUGAAUCUUCUUGGAACCAUUGUCACAAGUCAACCAAGCAUAAAUAAACUAUGAUGGUAUAAGCAGAAUACCCUAGAAAUUCACAAAGAAACUACUGAAACUAAAUAAGUGGGUUUAAGAAGGAGGAAAGUGGAGGAUAAAAGG